CCAUGUAACGGGCGUACUUCGAUUAACGAUUUGGUACUAUCCUAAUUACAGAUUAUGAAUUGAUUAAGGAAAGAAAGAGAAAAGAAAUCAGAAGAAAAGGUUGUAUGAAGAAGAUUCUUAUAGAGAAAAGUUCAGAGUGAAAGAAUAUCAGAAGCCACUUCACAGUAAAAUGUGAAGUGAAAGAACAUUAAGAGAUACACAUAAGAAUCAUUAGAAGUUAUGUGAGUGUGGAAUAUGAGACAGAGGAACAUUAAGAGCUACACAGAAGAAUUAUUAGAAACUAUAUGAAUAUAGAACACAGAGCAGAAGAACAUAAGAAGCUACACAGAAGAAUUAUUAGAGACUACACAAGCACAGAACACAGAAUGAAGAAACAUAAGAAGCUACACAGAAGAAUUGUUAGAGACUAUAUGAAUAUGAAGCAUGAAGCAGAAGAAUGUUAAAAGCUACACAGAAGAAUCAUUAGAA
rnacentral:sRNA from 1 species